UCUGUUUAGAUCUAAAGUAUCCAAAGUUGAGCUCUAAUGUUUCUUCACCCUUGUGUGUGUGAUAUCUGAUUUCCUACAUGCUGACAGAGCAGAGCAGCAGUUUGUGCUCACAGAUGGUGACGGUGUGGAGAGACGGUGGUGUUUCCUCAGAAGAACCAGCAGAGUCACAAAGGACACGAGUCCUUCUCACCACCUUGACUUGCUGACUGAUGCUCGUCUGCACUGCACAGAGGAAAUCAACUGACCGAGAUGGGCAGGAUAUCAGUCUUGGACUGUCUAACCUGCAGGACCAGCACUGAAUAACCACCACACAUGAGCAUGUUCCUGCAACAUUCAGCAUCUGAUCUGCCAUCUGUGUGCUUCUGCUUUUGUGUCAAAUGUCCAACAGCUGGAGAGGAAACUACACCAGUGUACUGGGAUGUUUCAUCAACACGUGCCAGAUGCUGUUCCUUCAUGGUGACAUCACCAGAGACAGCCUCGCCCACCUCAGGACCUCGCCAUUGAUCAUGAUGAUUAUAAUCGGAACUAAGACUGUAAAAAUCCACGACCAGAAUGUUUAGAUGCUUUCUAAUUAUUAAUGAAUACUGAGAGCCUCUUUCUGUGUUUUGUCUGUUUUGUUUUGUUUUUUACCUCAUUUGUUACUAACAAAGUUCACCAAACUCACACAGUUUACAUUCUGUAUGUUUCCAUCUUUACCAGCCACACUCUACCCGCAAUUAAGCAAAUAAUCCUUAGAAA